rnacentral:rRNA from 1 species
GCAGAAUUCGCCUUUAGAGUUUGAUCCUGGCUCAGGAUGAACGCUGGCGGUAUGCUUUACACAUGCAAGUCGUACGAGAGUUUUUAACUCAAGUGGCGGACGGGUGAGUAACACGUAAGAAUUUGCCUUUAGGAGGGGGAUAACAACUGGAAACGGUUGCUAAUACCCCAUAUGCUUUCGAGUAAAAUGGAUUUUCCGCCUAAAGAGAAGCUUGCGGCUGAUUAGCUUGUUGGUGAGGUAAUGGCUCACCAAGGCGACGAUCAGUAUCUGGUUUGAGAGGACGAUCAGACACACUGGAACUGAGACACGGUCCAGACUCCUACGGGAGGCAGCAGUGGGGAAUUUUCCGCAAUGGGCGAAAGCCUGACGGAGCAAUACCGCGUGAGGGAUGACGGCCUAUGGGUUGUAAACCUCUUUUUUCAGGGAGGAAUCAAUGACGUGUACCUGAAGAAUAAGCAUCGGCUAACUCCGUGCCAGCAGCCGCGGUAAGACGGAGGAUGCAAGUGUUAUCCGGAAUCACUGGGCGUAAAGCGUCUGUAGGUGGUCAAAUAAGUCAACUGUUAAAUCUUGAGGCUCAACCUCAAAAUCGCAGUCGAAACUAUUCGACUAGAGUAUAGUAGGGGUAAAGGGAAUUUCCAGUGGAGCGGUGAAAUGCGUAGAGAUUGGAAAGAACACCGAUGGCGAAGGCACUUUACUGGGCUAUUACUAACACUGAGAGACGAAAGCUAGGGUAGCAAAUGGGAUUAGAUACCCCAGUAGUCCUAGCCGUAAACAAUGGAUACUAGAUGUUGAACAGAUCGACCUGUGCAGUAUCAAAGCUAACGCGUUAAGUAUCCCGCCUGGGAAGUAUGCUCGCAAGAGUGAAACUCAAAUGAAUUGACGGGGAAGGGC